CGUCUUGGAACGGAAGAGCUGCUCCACGUGCUGCAGGAGAGUGAACAGCUCAUCGCAUGGCCAAGCGAGAAGCUGAUGACCCUCUUCGCUACGUAUCCUGCCAGGUGGUAGAGGACACAAGACUCGGUCUUUGUGAGGUCAGGUGGUGAUGGGUCUACCAGCUGCUCCACUCUCACAACCUCAGAAGCACUGCAGUUGCUGUUCUUGUUGUCCAAGAAGUCCGCCAAGUGGUCUGAUGCAUCAUCCAGAUCUUCCUGGAUCUCCAGGAUCGUUGUUGUGGCCAUCAUCAGUCCUGUCUGGACUGGUUUCUAGCUGCCCUGGGGACCGAUCUUCAGGCCCUGAAAAAGAUGGAUCGAGUCACGGAGGAAGCUGAUGGCCUUUUUUUGUUGAUAUUAUUUAUGCUUGUUCCCAUUUUUUUGUUCCACAUUGUUAAUUUUUAUCUUAUGCCAGCUUAUACCUUUAUUAUUAAUGUUGUCCUUCCUUUCAGCCCUGAUGCACUCUGAA